CCACCUGCAUAUUACGCGCAUCUGGCUGCAUUCCGGGCGCGGUUCUACAUGGAGCCGGAGCUGUCGGAGAACCACACGUCGAAGAGCUCCAGUGGGACGAAUGGUACCUCCGUGAAGCCUUUGCCCGCUGUGAAAGAGAAGGUGAAGAGGGUGAUGUUCUACUGUUGACAGAGGGACUAGUUUUAACUACUCACAGUUAUGUGCCUAACACUGUAGAAUUUAGCAGUAGAGGGUUAGGUUAGAUUUCUCCUGGAAAGGAAGAGAAGAGAAGAGAAGAACAUUUCUGCAUUUUGGACCCCUGAACUAUCUCUCGACUGCCUCUGUAAAGUACUCAG
rnacentral:lncRNA from 1 species